GAAAUGCGAUAAGUAAUGUGAAUUGCAGAAUUCAGUGAAUCAUCGAAUCUUUGAACGCAUCUUGCGCUCCUUGGUAUUCCGAGGAGCAUGCCUGUUUGAGUGUCAUUCAAGUUCUCAACCACACCCUUGAUGUGUGGCUUGGAUUGUGGGGGCCUUUAAUUUUUGCAGGCUUUUGAAAAAUGAAGUCUGCUCCCCUGAAAUGUAUUAGUAGUAUCUGAGCGUACUGCAAGGUGUGAUAAUUUAUUCUAUGCCUUUUGGGUAUGCUGCAUGAGCACUGCUUCUAAAAUGAUAAACCAUGUUUGAUGAAUUUGACCUCAAAUCAGGUAGGACUACCCGCUGAACUUAA
rnacentral:misc_RNA from 1 species